UACGUAGGGGGCAAGCGUUGUCCGGAUUUAUUGGGCGUAAAGAGCGUGUAGGCGGCCAUGCAGGUCCGUUGUGAAAACCCGAGGCUCAACCUCGAGACGCCGAUGGAAACCGCAUGGCUAGAGUCCGGAAGAGGAGAGUGGAAUUCCUGGUGUAGCGGUGAAAUGCGCAGAUAUCAGGAAGAACACCCGUGGCUAAGGCGGCUCUCUAGUACGGUACUGACGCUGAGACGCGAAAGCGUGGGGAGCGAACAGG
rnacentral:rRNA from 1 species